GAUGAAGAACGUAGCGAAAUGCGAUAAGUAAUGUGAAUUGCAGAAUUCAGUGAAUCAUCGAAUCUUUGAACGCACAUUGCGCCCGCCAGUAUUCUGGCGGACAUGCCUGUCCGAGCGUCAUUUCAACCCUCGAACCCCUCCGGGGGGUCGGCGUUGGGGACCUCGGGAGCCCCUAAGACGGGAUCCCGGCCCCGAAAUACAGUGGCGGUCUCGCCGCAGCCUCUCCUGCGCAGUAGUUUGCACAACUCGCACCGGGAGCGCGGCGCGUCCACGUCCGUAAAACACCCAACUUCUGAAAUGUUGACCUCGGAUCAGGUAGGAAUACCCGCUGAACUUAAGCAUAUCAAUAAGCGGAGGA
rnacentral:misc_RNA from 1 species